GCUCAGGCACACGACAGUGUUCAUUUCUCUCACUCCGUUGUCAUUUCGAACCUUAUGCGUUCUAUCUAACAUGGAAGGUCGAAUUAGGAAUACUCAGUGGAGGCCAAUCGAAACAGAGGGCCUACUACACGGAGGUAAUUUUCUCCAAUUUGAUCGUAGUGGAUUGUAAUAUACUGUUUCAGAUACGCUACAAACAAGUUUCAGUGCAGUUACAUCAUCUUCAGUCAAUGCUCUUACGAAGACAGGUAAAAUGAGUGUAUGAGUACGAUAUUGCUAGGUGGAGGAAAAUAACACGUGGAACGAAGAUAAUGGAGGAGGUGACAAGCGAGGCCAAAUGCCUACUUCUGUUUGUUUGGCCAAUCCAGUUCUGGAUGCCUCGGAGAAGUCAGAAUCAUUUUUUUGAAAAUAUACAGGCCCUUUAUGAAUCAAAAUUUUGCGAUUUCUCUCUGUAAAAUUUUCAAGUAAAUAAUCAGCGGGGUCAUGCGAUAUUUCUUCUGUGUUAGAAAACUAUUGUUCAGCUGACACAGUUGUCGUUGUUGGUGAAGUCACCGAAGUUGUUGCACUUUCGUCAUAGGGACGGAGGCUUUCUGAUUCAAUCUCGUUUGCUAAAUUGAUAUAAAUCUGAAAUUAGUGUAGAUCAUGAACAUUCAGAAAUAUCCGUAAUUUGUGGUCGACACGAAUCAUCAUGUGAAGAUUUUCUUAUUUGAUUGCUACUUACGGAUGUUGCUCUAGUAGUAGCAGUAAAAUAUGCUGUUCAUUUUUGUAACUUUUCAGUUACUUCCUUCUGAUGUUCAGCUUUUUCCUUUCUGCUAGGAUAUGACCGUUUUGACAUUUUAUAUUAUAAUUCAGCAUUUACGUUUACACCGAAAUUAGUCGCUAACACAAAACAAAACAAGGAAACGACUAUUUAAUCAAAGAAUACCUCAGAGCACAGUCAAUAACAACUACGAACGUAGCAAACGUCACAACACUGCAGACAAAAGCAGGUAAUUUCCCAACUGUUGAGUCGGUUUAUUGAAGUCGGCCGGUGACUAAUUUCACUUCGCAAUUCGCUCCGCGCAGAACUGCGCAAAGCUAAUAAGCAAGUAGGUACUGUAGUCGCUCAUUAUCGUUCACUUCUUUUCGAAAUAAAUUUGUUUUUUGGUAAUA